rnacentral:rRNA from 1 species
UUAAGAGCUUGCUCUUAUGAAGUUAGCGGCGGACGGGUGAGUAACACGUGGGUAACCUGCCCAUAAGACUGGGAUAACUCCGGGAAACCGGGGCUAAUACCGGAUAAUAUUUUGCGCCUCAUGGCGCGAAAUUGAAAGGCGGCUUCGGCUGUCACUUAUGGAUGGACCCGCGUCGCAUUAGCUAGUUGGUGAGGUAACGGCUCACCAAGGCGACGAUGCGUAGCCGACCUGAGAGGGUGAUCGGCCACACUGGGACUGAGACACGGCCCAGACUCCUACGGGAGGCAGCAGUAGGGAAUCUUCCGCAAUGGACGAAAGUCUGACGGAGCAACGCCGCGUGAGUGAUGAAGGCUUUCGGGUCGUAAAACUCUGUUGUUAGGGAAGAACAAGUGUGAGUUGAAUAAGCUCACGCCUUGACGGUACCUAACCAGAAAGCCACGGCUAACUACGUGCCAGCAGCCGCGGUAAUACGUAGGUGGCAAGCGUUAUCCGGAAUUAUUGGGCGUAAAGCGCGCGCAGGUGGUUUCUUAAGUCUGAUGUG